GACGAACGCUGGCGGCGUGCUUAACACAUGCAAGUCGAACGGAAAGGCCAUGCUUUUGUGUCGUGCUCGAGUGGCGAAAGGAUGCGCCACCCGAGCGUCACCUGCUCGUGACUCUGGGCUGACUUCUGGAAACACGGGCUGAUACCGGAUCUGAUCUCCUACUACAUGGUGGGGGUGGGUGAAUUUCGGUGGUUGGGGUUGGACACGCGGGUUAUCAGCUAGUUGGUGGGGUAGUGGCUUACCAAGGCCUGGACGGAAAGCCGGCCUGAGGGGGUGACCGGCCACAGUGGGACUGAGAUACGGCCCAGACGGCAACGGUAGGCAGCAGGGGGGAAUAUUGCACAAUGGGCGGAAGCCGGAUGCAGCAACGCCGCGGGCGGGAUGACGGCCUUCUGGUUGUAAGCCGCUUUCGCCUGUGACGAAGCUUGAGUGACGGUAAUGGGUAAAGAAGCACCGGCUAACUACGUG
rnacentral:rRNA from 1 species